AAAAAUAUGUUGCUUUAAUGUUGCAAGGAAUUCACGAACACCUCCACUAUUGAUGUAUAGAGGAGGAAAUGCAAGUCCUGCAGAAGAUUACAGAACAAUAAUUAUAUAAUA